UACAGAGGGUGCGAGCGUUAAUCGGAAUUACUGGGCGUAAAGCGUGCGUAGACGGCUAUCUAAGUCGGGUGUGAAAGCCCCGGGCUCAACCUGGGAAUUGCAUUCGAGACUGAAUAGCUAGAGUGCGGUAGAGGGAAGCGGAAUUUCCGGUGUAGCGGUGAAAUGCGUAGAUAUCGGAAGGAACAUCAGUGGCGAAAGCGGCUUCCUGGACCAGCACCGACGUUCAGGCACGAAAGCGUGGGGAGCAAACAGG
rnacentral:rRNA from 1 species